AACAAACAGAUGCAUGAACAUUCACUUUAUGUGCCCCCAAAGGAAAAAGAUUCUCUAAAUUCACUACUUAUGCUCUGAAAAGAUGUUUUGGUGUAUGAAUUCAUUGUAAAAUCUUUUUCAUUCGAUUUUACUUUCACUUCUUCCUUUAUGAUUAUGACUAUAGGCUAGGAUACAUCUGAGACAUGCAAGGCUAGAGGAAACAGAAUCAGAUUCUCCCUAGAAUGUUUCCUUUACAAUAUGUUUUCAAUUCAUGUAAACAAAGAUAGAUUCCAUUAUUAAUUCAAUGUACCAUUCGUGUUAGGGCUGGACAAGAACCCGUAAACCGGUCCAAACCGCAAAAACCGCAAAAAAAUAACCGCACUGAAUGGUUUCAAACGGGUCACCGGAUGAACGGGCCCAACAGUGCGGCCCCAGGCGGAUUGUAACAGGCGGGUUCGGUUUAUGGAAAACCACCGUCGGUGUCCGCAUCCGCCCGCACCAAAACUAAAAUUAUACGAUUAUUCAUAAUACACGGUCAUUUUAGCAGCACUACUAGGGUAUUCAGGGUAUUUAUUCUUUAUUCUCUCAAAUAAAGUUCCUUAACCAAAAAACCCUAGAACACUUCGUUAACGCCGCCGGUGAAGGAAACUAUGUGUCUGUGUUCAUCUUCUUGAUUCUUGGUCGUCCCUUCUUCUUCUUCUUCUACUUGCUUGGAAGGACCUUCUUCUUGUUUGCAAAGACAGAGCAAAGGUUAGAUUUCUUGUUCAUGUUCUUUGGUUUAUCUUUGUAUGCUCCCCACCUUUUGAUUUAUCUCUGUAUGUUCUUAUUUUUCACCUUUUGCUCUUUGGGUAUACUUUUUAUUUAGUAAAUUAGAUUCUUUUGUGAUAAAUAAAUACCAUGGAUGUAUAGCUUAAAGACAUGUGAGAGAAAACCAUAAGGUUGUAGCUUGACCUGCUAUUAUUAUAGCAAUUGAAUUUGUGUUGUAUUAUGCUCACAAUACUUAUAAUCAAUUAUUAUUUGAAAUGCUUGCAAAUAAAGAAAUGUAAGAAAGAGUGAGGACAACAACUGGAUCAUUAUCUGAUCUAUUUUUAUCAGCAGUAGUUACUAACUUGUAUAGAUCUGGAACUUCUCUUUCCAGGAAAAAAUCACUGCUGAGAUUUCUCCUAGAGGAAGAAUUGGAUCUAAGAAGCAUCCCUUACCAUUUUAAUGAGCAGAAUUAAUUAUUUGAGAUCAACUAUAAAUGAAAAUUUUUGGUUUAAUUUGGUGUUAGGAUACUAUAUGCAUGUCUUUCUACAGAGGGUACCCCAUGUCAAAACUGCUUGAAAAUUAUGUUGGAUUAAAUAUAGUACAUGUAAAUUAAAUAUACUACUAGCUUUCUAAUUAAUUCAAUUUUGUUUUUAUAGUAUUUUCUUUGUUUUAUUUAUUUACUAGAACUUGUAAUUAUGUACAGAUUGAAAAUAAUUAUGAACCUAUGGAGUAUCAAAUUGGUGCUCCUGGUAAAUCCUACACAAAAUGAGCAGCAUAUAUGGCUAUAGAAAUCAGUACCGGUUACCAUGGAUAAUUUUAGUAGUCCUUUCAUUUCUACAAUCUAUGACCUGAUGAAUAUGGAUUGCUGAGGCAUCUGAAGGAUUUAUAUAGAGCAAUAAUAUCUCUGAACCUUGAACCUGCUUACUCUUUAUAAUGUUAAAUUUAUAAGAUUAUCAUUAUUCUAUUAUAGAUUUUGUAUUCUUUUAUACUUUGAUUUGUAUAUUGGUUCUUUUCAUCUCAGUUAUUUUAAUUUUUUAAAAAAUGCUCAAAAUAUGUUAUUGUGCUCAAAAAUAAAAUCAGCAUAAUAACCCGACUGAACCGUUUAAAUUAACCCGUGAUCCGCUCUAACCCAACCCGUCUAAACCGUUCAAAAUAAUGGGCGGAAAUGGGUCUAUAUAUCUCAACCGCGGUUUGAAUUGGGUGAGGGUUUUGGGCCCGAAACCGCCCAACCCGGCCCGUUGUCCAGCCCUAAUUCGUGUGAUUGAUAAUCAUUCUCAUUUUUUGAGGCUGGGGCUUAAAUCAUUCAUUUGUAAUUGUAUGAUUAAUCAUUCAAUUAAGGUAAACAAAGAAGCAACCCGAUUUCUAUACAAACAUGUUAAUUCAAUAUAAAGAAGUUGAAAAUUUCUUUACCCACCUCUCUAUGGGGUCACCCCCAGCGAAAAACCAAAACUGCCCCUGCUUCGGAGAUGCAUCUCCGAAGUUUUUUUUUUUUUUGAAUUUUCAUACGUUUCGGAAAUGAAUCUCCGAAAACACCAAAAAAGUGGUGUUUUCGGAGAUGCAUCUCCGAAGUUAAAAAAAUUUAAAAACGUGAAUAUUUUCGGAAGUUCAUUUCCGAAAAUAUUCCUGCAUAUACAAAUUUCCCUCCUUCACUAUUUCAUCAUUUUUCUCCAAAACAUCUCAAAACCCUCUCCAAAACCCAAUCAAUCUCCCUCCAUUUUUCGUCCUAAAAUCAAGUUUCAAACCGUUGAUCACGUUAAAGGGAGCAUAGAAAGCUACAAUUUCAGGUAUGGUGCAUCCGGACAACAUUGUGCGAGACGAUGGAGUAUUAGUUCCGGAAAUUGUCAACGUUAAUAACGAUCCGGUUAUUGACGUUACUCCUAUGAUCAAUGCGGUCGAUGUUCGGCAACAUUUUACAAAUGAUCGGAGCUUCGGUAGUCGCGAACAAUUGAUUGAUUGGGUUCGGAAGGAAGCUAACAAACAUGGAUUUGGAAUUGUUAUUUUAAGGUCGGACAACGGAAAUAGUAGGCGGAAAGCUUUCGUUGUUUUGAAUUGCGAACGGGG